UCAUUGCACCCCUCAAGCACUGCUUGGUAUUGGGCUUCGCCCCCCGCGGCGGGCCUGGAAUUCAGUGGCGGUCCAGGGGGACCUCAAGCGUAGCAAGAUUCGUUCCCCGCUUUGGAGGCUUCCCGCUGCGUGCCGGCCAGACAACCCCCGAUCCUUCAAUGAUUGACCUCGGAUCAGGUAGGGAUACCCGCUGAACUUAA
rnacentral:misc_RNA from 1 species